rnacentral:rRNA from 1 species
GGCGAACGCUGGCGGCGUGCUUAACACAUGCAAGUCGAACGGAAAGGCCCUGCUUUUGUGGGGUGCUCGAGUGGCGAACGGGUGAGUAACACGUGGGUAACCUGCCCUUGACUUUGGGAUAACUUCAGGAAACUGGGGCUAAUACCGGAUAGGAGCUCCUGCUGCAUGGUGGGGGUUGGAAAGUUUCGGCGGUUGGGGAUGGACUCGCGGCUUAUCAGCUUGUUGGUGGGGUAGUGGCUUACCAAGGCUUUGACGGGUAGCCGGCCUGAGAGGGUGACCGGCCACAUUGGGACUGAGAUACGGCCCAGACUCCUACGGGAGGCAGCAGUGGGGAAUAUUGCACAAUGGGCGGAAGCCUGAUGCAGCAACGCCGCGUGCGGGAUGACGGCCUUCGGGUUGUAAACCGCUUUCGCCUGUGACGAAGCGUGAGUGACGGUAAUGGGUAAAGAAGCACCGGCUAACUACGUG